rnacentral:rRNA from 1 species
GUUGCCGGGCGGCGUGCUAUACAUGCAAGUCGAGCGGACAGAUGGGAGCUUGCUCCCUGAUGUUAGCGGCGGACGGGUGAGUAACACGUGGGUAACCUGCCUGUAAGACUGGGAUAACUCCGGGAAACCGGGGCUAAUACCGGAUGGUUGUUUGAACCGCAUGGUUCAAACAUAAAAGGUGGCUUCGGCUACCACUUACAGAUGGACCCGCGGCGCAUUAGCUAGUUGGUGAGGUAACGGCUCACCAAGGCGACGAUGCGUAGCCGACCUGAGAGGGUGAUCGGCCACACUGGGACUGAGACACGGCCCAGACUCCUACGGGAGGCAGCAGUAGGGAAUCUUCCGCAAUGGACGAAAGUCUGACGGAGCAACGCCGCGUGAGUGAUGAAGGUUUUCGGAUCGUAAAGCUCUGUUGUUAGGGAAGAACAAGUACCGUUCGAAUAGGGCGGUACCUUGACGGUACCUAACCAGAAAGCCACGGCUAACUACGUGCCAGCAGCCGCGGUAAUACGUAGGUGGCAAGCGUUGUCCGGAAUUAUUGGGCGUAAAGGGCUCGCAGGCGGUUUCUUAAGUCUGAUGUGAAAGCCCCCGGCUCAACCGGGGAGGGUCAUUGGAAACUGGGGAACUUGAGUGCAGAAGAGGAGAGUGGAAUUCCACGUGUAGCGGUGAAAUGCGUAGAGAUGUGGAGGAACACCAGUGGCGAAGGCGACUCUCUGGUCUGUAACUGACGCUGAGGAGCGAAAGCGUGGGGAGCGAACAGGAUUAGAUACCCUGGUAGUCCACGCCGUAAACGAUGAGUGCUAAGUGUUAGGGGGUUUCCGCCCCUUAGUGCUGCAGCUAACGCAUUAAGCACUCCGCCUGGGGAGUACGGUCGCAAGACUGAAACUCAAAAGGAAUUGACGGGGGGCCCGCACAAGCCGUUGGAGCAUGUGGUUUAAUUCAAAGCAACGCGAAAGAACCUUUACCAGGUCUUUGACAUUCC